GGGAGGUAAAUUUUUCCUAAGGCUAAAUAUUGGCGAGAGACCGAUAGCGAACAAGUUCCGUGAGGGAAAGAUGAAAAGCACUUUGAAAAGAGAGUUAAAUAGCACGUGAAAUUGUUGAAAGGGAAACGAUUGAAACCCGUUGUACCGACGGGUAAUCAACCUUUCGGGAGCGGUUCUCUGGGUUAUGAAAGCCUCACGGCCCUCAGGGUCGGCAUAUUGGUGCCCCUUUGGUGUGUACUCUCCUGAGUGGUAGGUCAACAUCAGGUUUGAUACGUCG
rnacentral:rRNA from 1 species